rnacentral:rRNA from 1 species
AUUGAACGCUGGCGGCAGGCCUAACACAUGCAAGUCGAGCGGAUGAAGGGAGCUUGCUCCCUGAUUUAGCGGCGGACGGGUGAGUAAUGCCUAGGAAUCUGCCUGGUAGUGGGGGAUAACGUUCCGAAAGGAACGCUAAUACCGCAUACGUCCUACGGGAGAAAGCAGGGGACCUUCGGGCCUUGCGCUAUCAGAUGAGCCUAGGUCGGAUUAGCUAGUUGGUGAGGUAAUGGCUCACCAAGGCGACGAUCCGUAACUGGUCUGAGAGGAUGAUCAGUCACACUGGAACUGAGACACGGUCCAGACUCCUACGGGAGGCAGCAGUGGGGAAUAUUGGACAAUGGGCGAAAGCCUGAUCCAGCCAUGCCGCGUGUGUGAAGAAGGUCUUCGGAUUGUAAAGCACUUUAAGUUGGGAGGAAGGGUAGUAAGCUAAUACCUUGCUGUUUUGACGUUACCGACAGAAUAAGCACCGGCUAACUUCGUGCCAGCAGCCGCGGUAAUACGAAGGGUGCAAGCGUUAAUCGGAAUUACUGGGCGUAAAGCGCGCGUAGGUGGUUCGUUAAGUUGGAUGUGAAAGCCCCGGGCUCAACCUGGGAACUGCAUCCAAAACUGGCGAGCUAGAGUACGGUAGAGGGUGGUGGAAUUUCCUGUGUAGCGGUGAAAUGCGUAGAUAUAGGAAGGAACACCAGUGGCGAAGGCGACCACCUGGACUGAUACUGACACUGAGGUGCGAAAGCGUGGGGAGCAAACAGGAUUAGAUACCCUGGUAGUCCACGCCGUAAACGAUGUCAACUAGCCGUUGGGUUCCUUGAGAACUUAGUGGCGCAGCUAACGCAUUAAGUUGACCGCCUGGGG